GAUGAACGCUGGCGGCGUGCCUAACACAUGCAAGUCGAGCGAUUCACUUCGGUAAAGAGCGGCGGACGGGUGAGUAACGCGUGGGUAACCUGCCCUGUACACACGGAUAACAUACCGAAAGGUAUGCUAAUACGAGAUAAUAUGCUUUUAUCGCAUGGUAGAAGUAUCAAAGCUCCGGCGGUACAGGAUGGACCCGCGUCUGAUUAGCUAGUUGGUAAGGUAACGGCUUACCAAGGCGACGAUCAGUAGCCGACCUGAGAGGGUGAUCGGCCACAUUGGAACUGAGACACGGUCCAAACGCCUACGGGAGGCAGCAGUGGGGAAUAUUGCACAAUGGGCGAAAGCCUGAUGCAGCAACGCCGCGUGAGCGAUGAAGGCCUUCGGGUCGUAAAGCUCUGUCCUCAAGGAAGAUAAUGACGGUACUUGAGGAGGAAGCCCCGGCUAACUACGUGCCAGCCGCCGCGGUAA
rnacentral:rRNA from 1 species